GACGAACGCUGGCGGCGUGCUUAACACAUGCAAGUCGAACGGAAAGGCCCUGCUUUUGUGGGGUGCUCGAGUGGCGAACGGGUGAGUAACACGUGAGUAACCUGCCCUUGACUUUGGGAUAACUUCAGGAAACUGGGGCUAAUACCGGAUAGGAGCUCCUGCUGCAUGGUGGGGGUUGGAAAGUUUCGGCGGUUGGGGAUGGACUCGCGGCUUAUCAGCUUGUUGGUGGGGUAGUGGCUUACCAAGGCUUUGACGGGUCGCCGGCCUGGGAGGGUGACCGGCCACAUUGGGACUGCGAUACGGACCAGACUCCUACGGGAGGCAGCAGUGGGGAAUAUUGCACAAUGGGCGGAAGCCUGAUGCAGCAACGCCGCGUGCGUGAUGACGGCCUUCGGGUUGUAAACCGCUUUCGCCUGUGACGAAGCGUGAGUGACGGUAAUGGGUAAAGAAGCACCGGCUAACUACGUG
rnacentral:rRNA from 1 species